ensembl:snRNA U6 U6 spliceosomal RNA
GUGCUCACUUCAGCAGCACAUAUUCUAAAAUUGGAACAAUACAAAGAUUAGCAUGGCCCCUGCACAAAAAUAACAGGCAAAUUUGUGAAGUGUUCCACAUUUUU